rnacentral:rRNA from 1 species
AUGAUAAGUGUUGAUCGAGUUGUCCUUUUUAAACAUCUGAUUCAAAGAACCCAGAAAAUUGUUACUGGAUUGAAAGAGAGAACAUUAUCUUAUGGAGGCAAGGAGACUUUGAUCAAGGCGGUGGCCCAAGCCAUCCCAACUUAUGCGAUGAGUGUAAAAUUCCCAAAGAAAAUUUUCAAGGGAAUCACUAAUGCCAAUUCAUAAUAUUGGUGGGGUGAUGAGAAAAACCAACAUAAAAUGCAUUGGUUCGGAUGGUGGAAGAUGUGUGUCCCAAAGGAGAGAGGUGGUAUGUGUUUAUGUGAUGUGAGUAGAUUUAACCUGGCAAUGCUUGCAAAACAAUGUUGGAGGCUAAUUAAGAAUUAUGAGUCAUUAUGUGCCAGGGUUCUCCGAUCAAAAUAUUAUCCUCUCGAGAUAUACUUAUUUGUUAGCUGA